rnacentral:SRP_RNA from 13 species
UGACCACCUUCCUGUCGCGCUUGUUCUUGAAGAGGAGCCCCUGCUCAGGAUCGGGGUUGAUCUGGAAGUUCGGGCUCUCGUUGGACGUGGAGUUCUGGGUGUCCCAGUUGUAAAAGGAGAGGUCUGAAGGGCGAGGC